CCUUUGCCACAAACCCAACUGUGAGCUGGCCCACUGGGACCUUCCUGUUGCCAGUUCCAACUGGUGAUGUGGCAUCUUCUACUUCUCCUGCCUCUCUGGCUGUGACUUGCCAUGUUUUAUUUCCCAGCUACUCCUUCUCAAAGGCAGCUAUUGCAAGAAGAGGGAUGCACUUGCUUCUGCUAUUCACCUUCCUCAGUCUCCUGUGUCUGCCGGUGCAGGGCUGGGUCCUUAAGAAACCCACCCAGCAUGAGCAGUGGAAGAUGCUGGACCGUUUGCAGAACAGAGAGCUGUUUCUCAGUGCCCUGCAGUCGUACCUCAGCACCAAGGGUAUCCAAGUGGAGAGAACUGCUCCGCCAUUUGUCCUUCUCUCAAAGGAUCACAACACUGGGACACAUGGGGAGCUGGAAGGGCAAGAGCUGGUGAUCAUGGAGCCUGACAUGGAUGGGUGGCUGAAUAAAUAAAUAGGCAUGAACAGCAGGUGAAAUACUGUCUUUAAACAGCUGGUCAUCCCCUGAACAUCUCUGAUUUGCUGCUUUUGAUGUUGCAUUCUUCUUACAUUUGCCAGGGAAUUGCUUUUUGAUGGUUAGAUAAAUUUCAUCAUAUGUAUUGGCACAUCCUCAGUAGAUUUUGCCUAAGCUGAAUUUGAGGGCCAAUGUGGUGUAGUGAUCAGAGUGGCACAUUGAAAA